UACGUAGGGGGCAAGCGUUGUCCGGAUUCAUUGGGCGUAAAGAGCGUGUAGGCGGCCAGGUAGGUCGGUUGUGAAAACUGGAGGCUCAACCUUCAGAGGUCGACCGAAACCAUCUGGCUAGAGUCCGGGAGAGGAGAGUGGAAUUCCUGGUGUAGCGGUGAAAUGCGCAGAUAUCAGGAAGAACACCCGUGGCGAAAGCGGCUCUCUGGACCAUAACUGACGCUGAUGCACGAAAGCUAGGGGAGCGAACAGG
rnacentral:rRNA from 1 species